AUAGGAAAUGACAAUAUUUAAAGCACUUUGCUAGGAAAGAUAAAACAUUGUUACAUACAUCUCCUCAUAAAAUAAAUGUAAAUUUGAAUAAAAAGGUUAAGUUUACUGUUAUCAAGAAUGGAUGUUGUAUAAUGUUUUGAAGCAUUUGAUGAACAGUCUCAUUCUGAGUAAGUUAGCAGGAAAUAUCAGUUAUUGUCUGUAGGAGGACAUUAUAUAUUGGCAGAAUUCAAGGUCCCUGUUUCACAGUUUCAUCAACUGCGAUAUAAUGUGGCAUAUGUACUGAAAGAGAUGGAAGAUUUAGAGAAGAAAAGUAUUCUAAAGAUUCAAGAUUAACACAGUUUAAUGUGAUUAUUGUCAGGGACAUGAAUGGUUGAACUUUUCUUGUUUUUAUAUAAAAUUCAUUACAGCAAUUUUUUGAUUUAUGUAUCAAAAUAAAAUGAACAAAACAGC